rnacentral:lncRNA from 1 species
CCUGAUUCCCAGCAGUUGUCAUGGCCAAUGUGAUAACCUUGAGGAUAGAAGUCAUGUACUGACAAUGGCAGAGCUCAAAGUUUCAGCACGCCCUGGAGGGGUCAUGACCAAUCUCCUGACCUGCUCAACCGCCAGCAGUACCCCCAGUCUGAAAGGCAUUCUCAGCCUCCUGUGCUUGGUCCCAGGGGAUUUCCCUGGGGCUCAGCUGAGCAAUCACUUCCUCCAGGAAGGUUUUGGGGAUGACACUUCCCUCCCUCAGAGGUG